CCUACGGGAGGCUGCAGUGGGGAAUAUUGCACAAUGGGGGGAACCCUGAUGCAGCAACGCCGCGUGAGCGAAGAAGGCCUUCGGGUUGUAAAGCUCUUUUAUGGGGGAUGAGUAAGGACAGUACCUCAUGAACAAGUCUCGGCUAACUACGUGCCAGCAGCCGCGGUAAAACGUAGGAGGCGAGCGUUAUCCGGAUUUACUGGGCGUAAAGGGCAAGUAGGCGGUUGCCAAAGUUGGGCGUGACAGAUCCUGGCUUAACUGGGAAAGGUCGUCCAAAACUAGGCGACUAGAGGGCAGGAGAGGAAAGCGGAAUUCCUAGUGUAGCGGUGGAAUGCUCAGAUAUUAGGAAGAACACCAGUGGCGAAAGCGGCUUUCUGGCCUGUACCUGACGCUGAGAGGCGAAAGCUAGGGGAGCGAACGGGCUUAGAUACCCGAGUAGUC
rnacentral:rRNA from 1 species